rnacentral:rRNA from 1 species
AUUGAACGCUGGCGGCACGCCUAACACAUGCAAGUCGAGCGGCAGCGAGACUAGUAGCAAUACUAGUUGUCGGCGAGCGGCGGACGGGUGAGUAACACGUAGGAAUCUGCCCUUAAGCGGGGAUAGCCAAGGGAAACUUUGGCUAAUACCGCAUAAUCUCGAGAGAGCAAAGCUGCCCGCAAGGGUGGCCCUUGAGGAGGAGCCUGCGUCCGAUUAGCUCGGUGGUGGGGUAAUGGCCUUCCAAGGCGAUGAUCGGUAACUGGUCUGAGAGGGCGACCAGUCACACUGGGGCUGAGACAAGGCCCCGACUCCUACGGGAGGCAGCAGAGGGGAAUAUUGGACAAUGGGGGCAACCCUGAUCCAGCGAUGCCGCGUGAGUGAAGAAGGCCUUCGGGUCGUAAAGCUCUUUAGGUUGGGAAGAAGGGUAUUGGCUGAAUAAUCCAGUACUUUGACGGUACCGACAGAAUAAGCACCGACAAACUCUGUGCCAGCCGCCGCAGUAACAC